UACACUACAAAAUUAUUAUUUCUAAUGAACCAUAAUCUAAUUUCUCCUUCUCCAUUCAUACCAAAAAAUUAUUCCUAAAAUCUGGGUUUCAGAAACCCUGAAAUCUCUUCUCAAGUUCCUCUCCUCCUUGUAUCUCUCUUCGUCUGGAGCUCGGUCUCUCUCAUCUCUCUCACCGUGGCGUCACCAUUCCUCUCUGUCUCGUCAUCGUCUUGCACAUAGUCCCGCGCCUUCGUUGCGCUCUUCGUCGCCGGCGGCAGAAGCAGCAGUUCCUGGGGCUCGUCGUCUUCGUGCUUCGAGUGUCGCCGUUAGCCUCUUUCGCGCAAUCAGAAGCUGCUUCAUGAUUUGGUGAACUAUAGAAGCUACAAAGUGAAAUAUUUAUUGAGGCUUUCAUGAAUAUUAUGGUAUCUAAUAUUUCUUGAUCUCUCUUAGUUCUUGGAUAAUCAAAGUUUUCUUGCUAGUGUCUCAAGUCGUAAUGAGAUUCAGGUACCUUCUAAGGCUACUAAAGUUUUUAAAAACUGUCUAUGAUCAGGCAUUUUCCAUCUGAGCUUUUUGACUGCUUUUUUAUUUUUCAUCUGAGCUUUCUUUAUGCUUUAUUUCUUGUCGAUUUCUUGUUUCCCUCUUAUUCUUCCCCCUUAUCGCUGUUUUAUUUACUAAUUUUCCCAUUACGUUUCUGAUAAUGGCAGAUUUGAGAUUUGGAAAGCAGGUAAAUUGCUUCUGCUUUGCAGUGGGAGUCCACUAUAACUGCUUUCUCUGUUAUUUAUGGCACCAGUUACAUGUAAAUACCUGUUCAUGUGAUUUGGAAUCAGUAGUUGCAUAUAUAUAACACUUUCUGAUAAAUAAUGCACAUAGGUUUAUUAGUUAUUCCCCACUGCUUAUGAUAUUUAGGUAUAUUGGGAGUGAGCAUGGGAUGGUAUACGUGUUGAAGUUUGACGCUAAAAGCAGAAAAAUUGAUCUAUUGCCUUAUUAUGUUCCUACAAAUGUUAUAUCUGAUAGUUUUCUAUAAUGAAGUCAGUAUAGGAAGGUGGCUCAUGAAAAGAAAAAAGAAAAAGAGAGAAGGAAAAAAAAAGCUACUAGAAUAUUUGUACUUCAUUUUGGAGGGGAAUAGAAUGACUUGUGAAGGGUGUUAGAUGAAGUUGGAAUAUCACUUGAUCAAAUUUCAGUGAUCAAGAUUCUUCAUCCGCCUUAUUCCAAUGGAAACAGGUCAUUCGAGUUCUGACUCCAGUAUAUGCUGCUAACCUUCCUUACAACCCCUUUCCUUGGAGGCUUUUCUGGAUUAUGCUAUUUUCAGCAAUGACCUAUAUUAUGCUCACAAGCCUCAAGGUUCUAAAUUCUAAUUGGCAUGAUUCUUCAGAAACAUGCCACUUGGUACAUUAAUUGAUGCGAAAGAAAGUAACUUCAUUCAUGCAGAUUAAUUUACAUGAGCCACCGAGUUACUGUACACUGCUGCUCAAGCAUUCCUUUGUGUUGUGCCUCAAGAGUGAAGGCCACAUGCUGAGAUGGAUCUGUUCAGGUGAAAUAUUAACUCUGGGAUCAUCAUAAGGACCUGCCACAUACAAGAAUAGGUUCAACCAGUUUUUUAGGUUUAACUUGAAGGAGUCUCAGAGUGAUUUCCCCUUUGAAAAUUUGUUUGUAAGAAAUAACUUAUUGAUGGCUUCCAUGCAAGUUGCCUAAAUUUUGUGUUUCUCCGGUAAAUAGUAUUGUUCCACAAUAGUUGGCACAAAAAGGAAAAUUAUGUCUGGCUACUAUAUUUUCUAUUUUCACUGUUAAGCUAUUGUAUUAACUGCAAUUAUUGA